GGUCCGGUAGUUCAGUUGGUUAGAAUGCCUGCCUGUCACGCAGGAGGUCGCGGGUUCGAAUCCCGUCGUCCCCG
rnacentral:tRNA from 1 species